GGAACAUGUGAAGACAUCCAUUAGAACAAAAAAUGGACAGAUUUUCGCAAAUGCAGAUAUGAACUGCAAAAGCAGAAAUUUGAUCUACUGCUUUAAAUGCCCGAAUUGCGAGGAAUUAUAUAUAGGCGAAACAGGGAAUGCAUUAUCGGAACGCUCACGAGUCCACAGACAACAAAUCUGGAAGACCAAUGUUCGCCAAAUCCCACUGAGCGAACAUAUAGAGACAUGCGGUCAGAAAAUGUUUCUAAUUUUUCCUUUCCACAAAUUACAUGACACGACGAGUGAGGUUGGAAGAAAGAUAAAAGAAAAACGGUUUAUUAAAAUGUUCAAACCUCAUCUGAAUAGAAAUAACAGCAAUAAUAUAACAACCGUUAAUGAUGUGGAUUCAAAAAUAUCUCUUAGCAUAUAAAUAUAAACAAAUUACAGAAUAUCAGUACGCCAGACAAACUGUGCUGUUUAAGCUGCAUGCAGAUUGAUCUAAACCGUAU